UGGAUGAUAUUCCGUAUACAGGAAAUCAUACCAGAACAUAUUUUUUAUCAGAAAAAGAGAAUAAAACCAGGAAAACCGCUUGUAUCCGUCAGUCGACGGAAUGAGACAGUCGC
rfam:Roseburia intestinalis XB6B4 draft genome.